AUAUGACUGAGAGACAUGGCCGGAUUCCCUCCCGUCAACAGAAGGAGAAGUAUGCGCUGGGAAUCAUUUCACUUUUUCCUGCACUUAAGGAUCCCUUCUCACCAAAAGGAUAUGAGCAUUUUUAUGAUGCACAGAAAGGUACUGGAUAUUUGGCGUGAUGUCUGAAGACAAUGAGCAGGACUAAAGCGAAGAGGCCAGCAAAGGAGCCAUCAUUGCCUAAAGACCAAGGGCCAAAACGGAGAAGACAAGUGACAACACUGCCUGAGCAGCUUGAUGGUGACGACUGCAGAGAAGCCAUUUCGUUUCUUAUUCACACCCCUGAAGAGGCAAGUGUGCUGGAGAAAAUGAAGAUGACAAUAUCGUUUCAAUAUCGUCAGGACUUGGUGCAUGACCCAGAAAGAAGCGCUGAUGUCUUCAAAACAUUCCCACGUUUCCUGGAUGUCAAAGGACUUGUAAAUCAAGACUUCAACCUGCUGUUUGGUGCUGAAAAAAGUUCCAAGUUGUUGAACAAUUGGGACACAACAUUCAAGCCGAAGAUCAUCAAAGAGGCCACCCAGCUGACUCAAUCAACUGAUCUGCG